UACGUAGGGGGCAAGCGUUGUCCGGAAUUACUGGGCGUAAAGAGCGCGUAGGCGGUCCGAUAAGUCGGCUGUGAAAGUCAGGGGCUCAACCCUUGAAAGCCGGCCGAUACUGUCGGACUAGAGUCCGGAAGAGGCAAGUGGAAUUCCCGGUGUAGCGGUGAAAUGCGCAGAUAUCGGGAGGAACACCAAUGGCGAAGGCAGCUUGCUGGGACGGUACUGACGCUGAGGCGCGAAAGCUAGGGGAGCAAACGGG
rnacentral:rRNA from 1 species